rnacentral:tRNA from 1 species
AAUAAGAAAGCAUUUAAGAUGCUUUUAAUUUCGACUUAAAAAAAGUAAAAUAUUACUCUUAUUA